rnacentral:lncRNA from 14 species
ACAGAAGUAAGCAAUGGGCUGUUACUGGAGUCAGCAGCAUCUGUAGGACAGUGUCCUGCUUCCUUCAGAUGGAGGGGGGAAAUGACUGCCAGAUCCCGGAUUCCAAGCUAUGGGCACACAGGAUGUAAGUACCCUGACUGGGGAGGAGGCUGCUGGUUCUUGCUCUAGCCCUGAGUUGCUUUAUGGAUCCUUGUUUGUGCCAUGGAGCUCGCAUACUGAACUGCCUGAGGAGUGAUCUGGAACAUCGGGAUUAAGCUGGAUCACAGCCAAAGGUGUUGCCUGAGAGCUACUUGUUUCUGCUCAUGCUGGUCUGCAGUGACCAACUUCAUGGGAUAGGAACCUGGAGGAUGCUGCUGCAUCUCGGCCGGGGCGCAACGCAGCAAGGCACGGCUCCUUCAUCUCUUAUUCUCAUUGAUCUGAAUGCACAUGGCUCAGUAGCACUGGGGAAAGGAAACCAAAGGGAAAUAAAACCAGGAGCAGUGCAGA